CUGAACUGAAUUUCUUAAAGUACUUCAGGGACACACUUUUCAUUGUAAAAGAGUUCUGCAGUAGCAAUAUAUUUGUAUGUGUGUAAAUAGGCGGUCUACAUCAUACAGACAGCUAGGGGGAGCUCUCGCAUAGGUCUGCUUAGUAGUAGUAGCGCUUAUACACAAGUUAAUGCAGAGAGCAGAUAACAGUGAUUCGAGAUGCUCCGGGAGAAAUUAAUCUAUCUUGUUUAAUAUUCUUUGCAGACUACUAUUAGGCUGAAUCAAAACCUGCCAGACUAAAGUUGAUUUUGCGUGAGAAAGAUGUUGAAAACUCUGAAUCAUCUUGACAUUCUUCAAUGAGUAAUUGUUCCAUUUUUACGCAAAUAGUGUACACUAUGAAUGCUGUGAAUAAACAUAUAUUUAAAUAUAA